rnacentral:rRNA from 1 species
UACAGAGGGUGCGAGCGUUGUUCGGAAUUAUUGGGCGUAAAGCGCAUGUAGGUGGCCUUUUAAGUCGCGUGUGAAAGCUUCCGGCUCAACCGGAAAAGUGCGCGCGAAACUGGGAGGCUUGAGUGCUGGAGAGGGUGGCGGAAUUCCCGGUGUAGAGGUGAAAUUCGUAGAUAUCGGGAGGAACACCAGAGGCGAAGGCGGCCACCUGGACAGACACUGACACUGAGACGCGAAAGCGUGGGGAGCAAACAGG